CGAUAAGAGAACAGCGGGGGAAGCGAGCACCGUAUGCGAAUGGCGCCUUCUCUGGACUUCCAUUCCAACUUCAAUCUCAGCUUCAAGGAGAAGACCUAAUCCCAAGUUUCUUUUGGUGGAGUUGGAGAAAGGAGGAGGCCACUGAUUGCUUGCUCAUGACGGCGAAGAGUACAGGCUUCGAAGCAGAAGAAGCUUCAGCUUCGAAGUUCUUGUUGGCCAUGUUUGGAUUAUGGGCCCAUAACUAUGAAGAGAUUAGCUGCACCGAUAUAAAAGAUGUCAUUGAGCUGCCUGCCCUUUAACACUAACGGAGACACUGGAGAUAGCGACUUCAUUGGAACACAGGUAGAAGUGAGGCUUUCGUGAAAGCAUUGAGCUGAGUGGAGAUGCCAUUACACUUCUGUCGUUGUUUAUUUUACAUCUUAAUGUCCCCACGGAAGUUCCAAUAAUGGCUACAAAGCUUGGUGAGAGAUGGGUGCUGCAUUAAUCUUGAUUUACUGUUGUGCUUUCUUAGUGGAAUAUUUGGCUGGAGGAGUUCCAACGUAACUUGCCGGCCCUUUUUGUAGUGGAGGAUGUUCAAGGAGAAGUGCUUUCAGAACCACUUGUACUUUGCAAGUAGAUUGUUGUUUCGGUGGAAUAUCACUAUUAAGAGGACAAUGGGAAAUUUAGUUCCUGUGAAAGAUCAAGCAUUUCCCUGUUGCUUUCUACUAUAUAGUGAUGCAAGCCUUUAUGCUGACUGAUAUUUCCUUGUGGUAAAGUUGUGCUAUUGGAUGUAUGAGUCAGACAGUCUGAUCUAUAGAAAAGAGACAGGGCUUCUCUUCCACAAUUGAUUUCAACUCAUGCAUGCAGGAGAUAUGAAUGUGGCCAGUUUAGGAUCUUGUCUGAGACACACACUCGAUCGUAUUCAUUCAGGAGUCUUCUUGGUGUCCCACCAGGUGAUAUAAUGUACAAAUCAUGUUAAGAAGUCAACUCAGGCUACAGGCUUUCUUUAUGGUGUAUAAGCAUAGGAUUUAUUGGCCUCUCAUUAUCCCUGUGUCGUUGGACUAAUUACAUCAGUUGAUGAUAUCUCUCCCUUUCUUAGUUUGGAAGUCCAUAUACUGAAAUGUUCCUUUGCUGACAAAGUGAGAUUUACUACAGUGAUCUGACCUAAAUCUCUGUUACAAUGGGACCACAUUACAACAUAACAUGUGGUUUCGGGCUAAAGAGGCAAAGUGGUUCUAAAAGCUGAUCCUUUUGAGUUCUAACUUCUUAAUGGAUGUCGAAAGAGGAAGAUGUGGCCACCUCCAUUAGAAAGUUUUGGUGCCAUGGUGGUUUAUGCCAUCAGCAAGCUACAGGGAAAAAAGGUUUAUGGUAAGGAGAUGCCUGCUAUCUUUCAGAUGAAGAUCAAUACUUAUUCUGUUUGGUUUCAGUUCCUCCAAGUAUUUGGUGUGGUCCUUGUUAUAUAUGGGAGAAUAUGGUAGGAGUUGGUUGUCAGCAAGUGACUGGAGAACAGAUAGGAAGCAUUGCUUUCAGAUUUUAGCUCUCCUGAAUCUUGUCCCAAUCAAAACUCCUGUAGCUGAAGCCUUCAUGUGCAGGUGUGCUGGUCAUGGGCAAGAAAUGAAGAAGGACCUGACCCGGGAUUUCGAGGUUCUGCAAUCUAGUAUGCUUUAUCUGCACCCAAUACUCUUUUGAGUUCAGAAUGGAUUGUCAAUUUCCAGACACUUGAACUUGAGCAAACUUGACUAUUUAUCUGUUGUCUUUGACACCGAAAGGCUGUGAUUCCAGUGGGCACGGAAUAGGGUUCCAGAAAGCAAGCCAGUUUUCUCCAACCCAACAAAACCACAAUGAUGAUGCCAACUUGCAAGAUAUUGGGGUUGCUGGACCACCUGAUCCCAGUUAGAGAUAAGUACAGAUCUAAAGAAUCUCAAAGAUAGAUCAUAUGAUGAUCUUGUUGUUCCCUGCAUCAUGUCAUGUGAAAAGAACAAGCUAAACCAUUUGCACAGAAACAUUCUUGACAUUGAAUUAUUGGCAUGCAGGAUAUAUGGUCAGGAAUGCAUUACCUAAAGAUCUCCACUAGUCAACUGUUCAGUUCUGCUGACAAGUCUAUUUCUCAUUGGUGGAUUUGCAAGUAGCAAAAAUGUGACAGACAAGUUCCAUCCUUGCUUCCAACUACACAGAUGAUUGCUGUUAAAGACCAGGAGGACUAUAGGUGCUCAUGGGAGCAACUGGCAAGCACAAUGUGGUAGUGUAGACCAGCACCUAGACUAAGACAACUAAACCUCAUCUGUGGAACAUAAUUUCCUAUCAAACUUCCAAGUUGCUCCAACACAGAAAUGACAACUUUGGAAAGCUGCACCAUUGGAUUUUGUUGGGGGAUGUGGCAUUGAAACUCAAUUCAGAGGAUUUUCUAAAACAAAUGCAUACUGCCAAAUUAAAAUGAGUGGUUCUUUUGUUAACCUAAUCUAAGAAACAAAAGAUGCUGGUGUCAGAAAAGCAAGGAGAUGCCAUUCGAGUGGAGUUAAUUGAAUCCAAACAAAAGAGGGGACUGAGGAGACAAAUAAGAGUUAAAUAUCUGAAGGAAAAAAGGAUGUGUUUUCUCACAGAAAAGGAAAUAAAAGGGAAGAAAACAGAGACGCAGCAGAUCGAUAGGAGAAUGCUAAUUGCCAUGGCUGUACCAUGUACACUGCUUGUACAUGAAAAGAUAUGUUAUCCUUUGCAGUUGUAUCCUAUUGUGGAUAAAAAGGAGAAAAAAGCAAAAUGAUUCCAGACAAGUUACUAUUUAGUCAAUGAGAUGUCGAACCGGAUGAUAAGACCAUCUUACUCCUUUAUUCGGUGAUACAAUGACAUUCACAUCAAGAAUACUAAUCUUAGUAUAUACAAUUAAAUUACAAAUAUGUAUCGAUCUAUCAAAGAAACAGAUGAUAUCAGAAUCAAAGACAACGUAUUGGU